rnacentral:rRNA from 1 species
GACGAACGCUGGCGGCGUGCUUAACACAUGCAAGUCGAACGGAAAGGCCCUGCUUGCAGGGUACUCGAGUGGCGAACGGGUGAGUAACACGUGGGUGAUCUGCCCUGCACUUCGGGAUAAGCCUGGGAAACUGGGUCUAAUACCGGAUAGGAGCCAUUUUUAGUGUGAUGGUUGGAAAGUUUUUUCGGUGUAGGAUGAGCUCGCGGCCUAUCAGCUUGUUGGUGGGGUAAUGGCCUACCAAGGCGGCGACGGGUAGCCGGCCUGAGAGGGUGGACGGCCACAUUGGGACUGGGAUACGGCCCAGACUCCUACGGGAGGCAGCAGUGGGGAUAUUGCACAAUGGGCGCAAGCCUGAUGCAGCGACGCCGCGUGGGGGAUGACGGCCUUCGGGUUGUAAACUCCUUUCGCUAGGGACGAAGCUUUUUGUGACGGUACCUAGAUAAGAAGCACCGGCUAACUACGUG